AUGAAAUUCAAAGACUGCAACAAUGAUAAAAAAAUUAUACAAAUGCCAUUAUUGAAUGGCUCAGCGAAAAUACUUUCCUUAGUUAGACCGAAUAAGUUUUGUUUAUCAAACAACAAAUUAACCAACUUGAUUUCUGGAUGUCACAGGGACUCCAUGGCCUGUGCAGAUAGUCCCAUAGGGAUCUGGAGAGUCCAGGAGGAGGCGGACACUGAGGACCAGGCUGGCCCUCUCAUCAAAUACUACCAACCCCUCAAGCCUCUGCGGGCUGAGAGAAGACCCCUACAUGCUCUGCUGGGGACAGCUCCUGCUGUGCUGGGGUCUAUACUGAUGGUGGAUGGCCUCUUCAGUGUUGCCGUGGAAAUUGUUUUGGCUAUAACUUUAGAGAUGACUAAAUCUCUUUAUGUACUCCUCCGAAUCUCAUUCCUGACAGGACCAUUUUUUUUUGGUGCCGGACUACUAACAAACCUUUUGUGCAAAAAUCCAAGACUACUACCUGUAUGCUAUUUCCUUAACCUGGCCGGUGUAGUCAUGGCAACACUCGAAGUGGUUAUUAUAAGUGUUGACUUUACCAGGGGGAGCGAACUUAACCAACACUUGAAGCUGGAGCUCAUGGAGAUGUGUGUGAUGGGGCUCAAUUUGUUUCUCUCUCUGGUUCUCUGUGUCUGCAUUCGGAGUGAGAGAAACAGACACAAACAAUUCUUAAGCAACAUAUAA
rnacentral:lncRNA from 1 species